rnacentral:rRNA from 1 species
CGAAAGCCUGACGGAGCAAGACCGCGUGAGGGAGGAAGGCUCUUGGGUUGUAAACCUCUUUUCUCAGGGAAGAAGCUCUGACGGUACCUGAGGAAUCAGCCUCGGCUAACUCCGUGCCAGCAGCCGCGGUAAUACGGAGGAGGCAAGCGUUAUCCGGAAUUAUUGGGCGUAAAGCGUCCGUAGGUGGCGAUGUAAGUCUGCUGUCAAAGACCACAGCUUAACUGUGGAAAGGCAGUGGAAACUGCGUGGCUAGAGUACGGUAGGGGUAGAGGGAAUUCCCGGUGUAGCGGUGAAAUGCGUAGAGAUCGGGAAGAACAUCGGUGGCGAAAGCGCUCUACUGGACGGCAACUGACACUCAGGGACGAAAGCUAGGGGAGCG